rnacentral:rRNA from 1 species
UACGGAGGAUGCGAGCGUUAUCCGGAUUUAUGGGUUUAAAGGGUGCGUAGGCGGAACAUUAAGUCAGCGGUAAAAUCGAGGGGCUCAACCCCUUUAAGCCGUUGAAACUGGUGAUCUUGAGUGGGCGAGAAGUAUGCGGAAUGCGUGGUGUAGCGGUGAAAUGCAUAGAUAUCACGCAGAACUCCGAUUGCGAAGGCAGCAUACCGGCGCCCGACUGACGCUGAGGCACGAAAGCGUGGGGAUCGAACAGG